AUUGAACGCUGGCGGCAUGCCUUACACAUGCAAGUCGAACGGCAGCACGGGAGCUUGCUCCUGGUGGCGAGUGGCGAACGGGUGAGUAAUGCAUCGGAACGUGCCCUGAAGUGGGGGAUAACGUAGCGAAAGUUACGCUAAUACCGCAUAUUCUGUGAGCAGGAAAGCAGGGGAUCUUCGGACCUUGCGCUUUUGGAGCGGCCGAUGUCGGAUUAGCUAGUUGGUGGGUAAAGGCCCACCAAGGCGACGAUCCGUAGCGGGUCUGAGAGGAUGAUCCGCCACACUGGAACUGAGACACGGCCCAGACUCCUACGGGAGGCAGCAGUGGGGAAUUUUGGACAAUGGGCGCAAGCCUGAUCCAGCCAUGCCGCGUGAGUGAAGAAGGCCUUCGGGUU
rnacentral:rRNA from 1 species